GUUUAUUAGCAGCUCACGAAUUGGCAGGACAGGGAAAAGCAGAUCCUGGAUGAAGAAUCACGCCUGAUUGUCUUGUAGUUGCCAACAUUGGUCAGUGUUCUGCAACGUGAGGACCUUCUGUCGUUCUUUUGACUUUUCCCUCUUCCCUGUUCGGUCCUAGAAGCAAGAAGACCACUAAGGCUGGAAGCAUCAAAUCAGCAUCCAGGGUAGGAAGGAAGAGUGAAAAUACCAGCAACGCCACACCAUUUUAUAGAAAGCAAAAGCUUUGUGCAGACAACAGCAGGGCAGUGCUGGAAGCCACAUGUGUCAGACGGCUGAGCCACAAGAUGAAAAGAGCUUGAGUCCCUGGGUUACCACUUGGAAGAGAGCAGCCUGCUAAUUGGCAAGAGUCAUUUUGGAUCUUAUAUAAACAAGAAAUAAACUUCUACUAUCUUUGA